AAGUCGUAACAAGGUCUCCGUAGGUGAACCUGCGGAGGGAUCAUUAAGAUGCGUAUAGCCUCUGCGCGUGGCGGCCCUCGGGCUGCCCCACGCACGCCUUGCAUCCUCGAUAUUACAGCACCUUGCGUUCUCCUUCGGCGGGUCAGCCCGCCGAUGGAAAUCGAAACCUACCCUACGUGUGAGUGGCAGAUAAGAUGUGCAUGGAUGGCGGCCUCUGCAGUUUGUGUAUCGCAAGACAAGCCGGAUUUCCUGGGUCGUUGGGACGCCAUGCGGUACGGUUCCUGCAGCGCGAGGAUACCACGUGUACCCAUUUCCCCUUCAACCCCCAUCUUUCUCCUGAGUAAUACCCGUUCCGAAACAAACAAUCGUUACAACUUUCAACAAUGGAUCUCUUGGCUCUG
rnacentral:misc_RNA from 1 species